AGAGGAGUCCAGACUCCGAUCCCAGCUCCACUGCUGCCUCCCGCACGCCUGGAGCCAGCCCGGCCCUCAUCUGUGCACGCAGGGUGUGCUGCACCCCACCAGGCAUCUCCAACUCGGAGAUUCAGCUGCAGCCCUGGCCGUCAGACCCACGGGCCCUGAAGUCCAGGGGGCCCUCUCGCCCGCCUCCUGUCUGCAGAUGGGGAAAUUGAGGCCCAGCCAGGGCAGGGGAUUUGCCGACGUUUCGCAACAAAUUCGAGUCAGAAAUAGGCCCAGCUGGGCCUGCCGGCGCGGAGGCCCGCUCGGGACACUGCUGGCCAACGCAGGGCCCAGCACGGUCCCAGUCACACCCACAGCAGGGUCCUGCCAGCCUUCUCCGCUCUCCCCUGGGGGAAGUGACCCUCCUCCACCUCCCAGAGCCCACGUGAGUCCGCAGGAGGCCCCCCUGGGCCAGGUGCCAGGUGCCGAGUGGCUGCCUCCAACUCGGGGGCUGCUAUGCAAGGAUGUUUCCAGUUCUCCGGGUCCUUCCUUCCACCUGGGAGGUCCGGGGCUGCCGGGCCAUGCUGGUCCCUGUGGCCCUAGGGCCCGCCCAGCGCAGGGCCUGGCAGGGAGAGGGGGAAACGUGGGUGAGGGAAGUGAGUCACCCCUUGGGACACUUCCCUGCUCAGUUCCUGCCUCUCAGCAGCUUCUGCGAGGCAGGUCACACCUGCAGGGGAGCCUGGCAGCGCUAGGAGAGGCAAGGGGUGGGGGUGCCGCCUUUUCAUGGGGCCAAGAGGGGCCCUGAGAGGGACACCGGGUGGACAGCCCCAGGGGCCUCCUUGCUCGGCCAGCCGGCAUCUCCCCCUGCUCCCAGCAUAGGAGGGCCGGUGGCCUGAGUGCUCUGCUCCGUGCCCGGAAAAGACUCAUGUUCCAGGAAAAAGCCGCUUGGCAGGUCGGAGCAAGCUCAUGGUGCUGUUCCCAGACCCGAUGCGAUGCGUGUGGAGGGAGGCCUGCCCUUGCCCCCAGGGCUGCAGGGCGAGAACAGACCUUGAUUCCUGCUAUAACCCUGGGCACGGCCUCUGUUUCUCCGCGUGUGCCCGGGGGCGGCGUGUUCUCAGGGCAGGGGCCUCUAAGGAUCAGAGUGAGGCUGCAGGCCCAGGCUGAGGCCUGCACCACCUCGGCCGGGAGAUGAGUAAAUGUCUGGGUCCCCCUGGCCACUCCAGAGUGAGGCCGCCAAGCCUCCGGCCUGAAGUCCGGCUCCUGUUCUCAGCCUGCCAGGCCCUUGUGCGGUGGCGUCGGGCAGGCAGGGCAGGGAGGCCACGGCAGCCAUCUUCCCGGGGAGCUGGGGCCUGGCCAGCAGCGUUUCCCAGUGGCCUCCUCCUGUGCUCCGAGCUGCAUUACCUCAUCGGGAAGCCAUUCCAGAAAGGAGCUGCGGAGCCCCUGGGAGUGGGAGUGGGGAGAGCUGCGUCAGCGCCCUCCUGGCAGCCUCGGUGCCAGACGAGGGCAGGCGUCACGCCUCCGGGUGUCUGCCUGCCGAGCGACUGCUGGGAGAGCAGCUGGCUUUUGUCAGCGUUUCGGGGUGACCGGGCUGGGCUGCAGCAGGCAGGUGGCGUGGCACGGCCCAUGGCCGGCCAGCUACCAGGUGGGCAGAGGAUCUAUUUCAAGAGCCGGAACCAAAUGGCCAGGCAUGAGGGGAAGCCAGGUGCAAACUCAGUGGCAGAGACCAAGCCCUGACCCCGCAGUCCCAGGCCUCAGUUUCCCCUCAGGCCAGCCCUCCUCCCAGCACCUGUCCUCUGCUUCCUAUAGCCACAAAGAGCACCAGACACGAGUGAGCAGGUGACUACACUCCCUGCUGCCCGCUGGUGUAAGCCAGAGGCCCUGCCACCCACAGCUGGCCUCCAGAGGCCUUUCUGGACCACAGGGUCAGGGCUGAGAGGGGUGGGGGUGGCAGGGGCAGCUGAGGUGCUGGAGAGGGAGGACAAGCUUCCUGCCUGUGGAGGAGACAAGGGCAGCUCCCAACCCUGCUCCUAGCCUUCCUGCCAAGUUUGGAUUCCAGAAACACCUCUUGGUGCCUCAGUUUUCUCAUCUGUUUUGUGUGUGUGUGUGUGUGUGUGUGUGUGUUUUGUAGAUAGGGUCUUUCUCUGUCACCCAGGCUGGAGUGCUGUGGUGCGAUCAUGGCUCACUGCAACCUCUACCUCCUGGGCUCAAGCAAUCCUCCCGCCUCAGUCUCUCGAGUAGCUGGGACCACAGGUGCACACCACCAUGCCUGGCUAAUUUUUGUUUGUUGGUUCAUUUUUGUAGCGACAGGGUCUCCCUAUGUUGCCCAUACUGGUCUCAAACUCAGCUCAAGUGAUCUGCCCGCCUCAGCUUCCCAAAGUGCUGGGAUUACAGGCAUGAGCCACUGCGCCCAGCCCGGCUUUCUCAUCUGUAAAAUGGGUUGACAAUGCCCACCCAGAUAAUGGUUGAAAGGACUCGUGAAACCACGUAGGAGGCACAGGCAGACAGGCACUUGUGGGGGUCCAUGAAUGAGCCUCAGUGCCAGCUCCCCCAGGCCAGCUUCCAGCCUUCACACUGUCUGGGCCAGAGGAGUCUUCCUAAAACAGAGGACUGUGUGGAGCACUUCUCCACAGAGAAGCCUCUUGCCUCAAGUCAGUGACACUGUCCUCCAGCCCCACCCAACUGUACAUGUGCCCAAGCUCAUCAUACUUUUCCUCAAACCCUGUCUGUCAGGAAAACUCCUACUCACCCCGCAAAACUCCAUGUGAGAUGCCCACUCGCUCAUCUAAAAUGCCUCACAGGAUUACUCUAAGAACCAAAGAAGAAUAUACAUGUGUGAACACAUGGGCAUGGUUGCCAAGUGAGGGGCAUCACAUUCAUGACUGUCCCCAUUACUUAUUAGAGCAACCAUAACCAAGAAUGCAGCGGUGGGCAGGAAGUGUUACUGGGGAUAGGAAUUAGCAGGAAGUUUUUCUGGCUUGGAAUUUAAGCCCAACUUUGGCAGAUGGCAGAAUUUUCAGAGAGGAAAGGAGGAAAUUGGAGGCUAGUGUGGCAGUGUUAAAUAUGGCUGCAAAGUCCUUGGUCCUUCUCCCAUUGAAGCGUGGGCCCUAUGGCCUCUCCUCUUGAAUCCAGGUGGGCUUGUGACUACUUCAGCCAAGACAAUGCGGCAGAAGUGUUGUUGGGUAACUUCCAAGGCUCACUCAUAAAAGACCAUAUGGCUUAUAACUUGGAGUCCUAAGUUGCCAUCUAAGAAGGAAGUUCAACAACCUGAGACUUCCAUGCUGUGAGGAAGCCCAAGCUCCAUGAGGAGUCACAUGGGGGUGCACUGGUUGACAGUUCCAGCCUUCCAGCCAGCCCAGCCCAGGCACCAGCCAUGCGAAUGCAGAAGCCAUCUUGGAAGUGGAUCCACCAGCAGCAGGUGUCCCGGCCCCCAGCCAUUUGAGUUGUCUCGGGUGAGCCACUGAACCACACAGAGUAGAGUGGAGUUGUCCCUACUGUGCCCUUUCAGGACAGAAUUCCUGAGCGUAAUAAAGUGGCUGUAGUUUUAGUCACUGUUUUGGGGCUGUUUGUUAUGCAGCACUAAUUAACUAGAACAGGUGAGAAGAUCAGAACUUCCUGGUGCUUAAAGCCAGCCACACAGCCCCUCGAAGCAAGAUUGUCUUAAUCUGGAAGUCAGUCCCAAGAACAGGUUCUCCCCAGUGCUCUCAGCAUUCCCCACCCCAGCCUGGCCCAUAAGCAGUGCUUGGGGCAUGCGGGGUUGCUGGAGCACUCCCAAGCCACUCCCAACACCUGGAAGGAGCCUCCCCUCCUCAGGAUUCUCAGCGGCGUUUGCAGCUUGGAUGACUGUGGACCCAGAAGCUCUGGGGAGUUAUCCAGGUUCUAUGUGGCAUGAGUAUCCCUCUGUGCCUCAGUUUUCCACCCAUGGAAUAGGGCACGAAACUCAUAAUCUCUCUGAUCCCUCUCGGCUCCUACCCCACCUUCCUGGAGGCCUUGUUCAUUCUCAUGUGUGUCUCCCCCACAUCCUCUUACCCAUGUGACUCUGCCUGCCAUGAAAGCAGGAGUCAUGACUGCAGUCUCACGGUUGAAUGUUCUGCACCUGGCACCCAGCCUAGGCCAGAGGAUGGAUGCCACACCACUGGUGUUUUCUGAAUGAAUCAAUGAGUCAGUCAAUAAAUGGAGUGAAUGAAUG
rnacentral:lncRNA from 1 species